rnacentral:rRNA from 1 species
AGCGUUGCUCGGAAUCACUGGGCGUAAAGGGUGCGUAGGCGGGUAUUUAAGUCAGGGGGGAAAUCCUGGAGCUCAACUCCAGAACUGCCUUUGAUACUGAAGAUCUUGAGUUCGGGAGAGGUGAGUGGAACUGCGAGUGUAGAGGUGAAAUUCGUAGAUAUUCGCAAGAACACCAGUGGCGAAGGCGGCUCACUGGCCCGAUACUGACGCUGAGGCACGAAAGCGUGGGGAGCAAACAGG